UCAAAUUAUAAUUAAAAUAGAUCUAGAGAAAAUAUGCUGUCACCAACUAUAUUAUUCUCAGUGAUGUGGCAUCACCUUCACCAAAGAUGGUUCAGCUGUAGGUGAAGGCACCACUUUGUCCAGCAGGGGGCAGUGGUGUAUCGCUGUUCAGCAGCUGAAACACUGUCUGCAUGAACAGCUGCAUAGGAGAGUAUCAUGUAUCAUCACUUUUUGCUUCAUAUUAUGUGGGCAGGUCUGAUCAUUUCAACCAUCUGUAUCAACAGUCUCUGAGCCCUGAGGUGCCUUUAUGAUGUGAGCAACAGUCGCUGUGCUUGUUACAAAGAAUUCCCACAGGAAUGUAUAGCACAUUAGGAUUUUAUUAGUUCCACAGCUGUUCCAGUAGCUAAUUCCCAUUAUAUCACAAAGGGACUUCAGUAUUUAUUUAUUACUUAUCAUAUUCUCGCUUUUUAAACUAGUAUAAUAAAUAAGUCAUUUCUUUUUAAGGUCAGAUAGGUACAUUUUGAAACAUAACACCUGCUCUCAAGAGAUUAUUAAUACAUAUUUACGUAAAGGCAAUUAGGUAAUUUUUCAAAUUAUACAUACAUGACUGAUUAAAUAAAUAACGGACAAAAUAAGGACACAAUUCACUUAAGUGCCUCCUUUAAAAAACACUUAAUGCUAAACAGAGUGAUCGUUUUCAUAAAAAAUAAAACCACAAUUUGUGAAGCACCUCAGUCAUAUAGUAUAAUUACUGAGCCCCCCCUGCAAGAAAGCAACGUUAAAAUUUACUUAGAAAAUCUGUGAAUACUAAUUGGAGUUUGUAGCUGUUGAGAUUUGAUGCCCCAAUAAUAACAACCACAGCUGUAACUUCGAAUAACAUAUUUAGGACAAUUUAUAUGCAUUUAAACUUAAAUGUAUUCUCAUUCAUUCUUCCCAUAGACUAGUUUAACACAUUCCUAUGGAUGUUCUCAAAAGUAAAAAGUAAGUAUGACUGAGGGCUUUUGCAUGUCGUUGUUGGACUAGAAUUUGAGAUCAACAGUUGUACUUAAAACAGAGUAUUGCUUAAAUAUUAUACUGAACAAAUACUGAGCCAUAGACUACAAUUAUGCUGUCAUGGCACAAUGAGAAAACUGAAACUGAAGUUUACUUUAAAGCUUCUUUUUCUUAUAAAUUAAUCUCUGGGAAGAUUUUUUAAAAGGAAUUAUGCCCAGUUCAGUCUUUGGAGAGUAUCAUUUAAUCAGACAUUCAGGGUCUUCUCAUAUUGGGAUCAGGAUGUCAGGAUGCUACAUUGGAUUGACUGCACAUAGUCUCCAAGCAGACUCUUACUUCAACCAGCUAUUGCAAGAACUAUGUUUGUAAUUUGUACUGGAGGAGCAUUCAUUUUCAUUUUUCGUGUGUGAAACAGUGAACAUAACAAGUUUCAUUUAUUGGGGUUGGUUUAUAUGUACAGUUUAUAAAUACAGACUCACCAAAAGUUCCAAAUACAGGUGUUUUUAUACUACAAUCCACUUAAAUACAACUUAAACUUACAAUCCAAUUUAACGAUUUAUGUUACUGCUGAAACCAAUGGCUGCACUAGUGACAAUUUAGAUGUUCUAUUAAGGGGGUAAUUACUUUUGUAUGAUAUAUUUGUAAUGAAUCUAGAUCACUUUGUAGAGAUCUGUUUUCAUUUACAUUAAAAUGUCCUUUUCUCGAUCAGUGUCAAGGCCACAUUAAAUCCCUUUUGAUUCAACGUUAUAAUAAAAAAUAAAACCUGAUAUCUUACAAGGGGCGGAACAUCUUUCAUAGGCACUGUCAUUUAAAUCAGAAGCAUUACAUCUAACUGUGGCACAUUUUACUGCAUCUCAUUUCUCUCUCUCAGUCUGGAGGUGAAAGUUCAAGUACUACGGGGGGCUCCUAUAAUGAGCCCUCUGAACGGAUGGCUAUCAUCCAGCUUUAAUCUCCGUGUGGCUCAUACAUCACACACUGCAUUAAUUCGAGGCGGUCAGGAUGCAACAAACCACUUCAUUACAGUUUAGUCCGUGUUGGGUGGAGGCCAGGGUUAAUGAGCUGCCGGUCUCUUCUUCUUUAUCUCUUCACAUUAUUGUCAAACUGUUGUUUACUAUCUUAAUUACGUGACACAGUUUGCUCUCUAUGUUUUCCAGAUCUAUCUCCAGGUUGUAACCUCUUCCUUUAAAACU